CACGUAGGCGGAUUUGUAAGUCAGGGGUGAAAUCCCGGGGCUCAACCUCGGAACUGCCUUUGAUACUGCAAAUCUCGAGUCCGAUAGAGGUGGGUGGAAUUCCUAGUGUAGAGGUGAAAUUCGUAGAUAUUAGGAAGAACACCGGUGGCGAAGGCGGCCCACUGGAUCGGUACUGACGCUGAGGUGCGAAAGCGUGGGGAAGCAAACA
rnacentral:rRNA from 1 species